GUUGAACAGUUGUUCAUGUUCGAGUAAUGUAUAAGUGAACUUAUUCAUACCAUAACAGCUGUUGUACCUUGAGCUGGCCGGACUUGAAAAAUUUGUCUUCCAUUUUUUUUUCACAUACGACAGUUCGACAGUUUGUUUUCCAAGCGCGGUGGCUGUUCGGAGUGCUGGUGCAACCGAAAUUAGAUUUCCCGCUUGCUUGCCGCGUCUGAUCUUUCGAUCCAGCUAAAGACCAACCCAACCACAAGCUGCAGUGAUCACCACAGAAGAUUCCGCGAAUAAAACGAUCGAAGAACAAAUGAUUCCUACUCAAAAUAUACGCAAGAAUGUAAUUGCAUGUUUUGCCAAGAAAAGUGAUCAUAAGGACGAAUUGAGCACCUCAUUUAAACAUGAUGAUCACCAAAGAUAUACCAGUGACAGAGAAGAACUUCUGAACAAACACUCGCCGGAUGUUAUUAUUUCGACAAUCAUCAACGGACAACUACCAAAUCGAUUCUAUUAUAUUCGAUUUGUCUGCGGAAUGCGUUUCUAGACUAGGCUGGCUGUAUUAGGAUUGCUGUCUUCGUUGGCAGCGAGGUUGGUGCGACGAUUGAGGGGAUCAGAAAACAGAAUCCAUUUGUAAUUCUGUUUGACUCUUGAGAAAAUCGGCUACGCGCGAUCUGUCGAGGUCAUACGAGGAUCGUGGCUGCUGCAGCAGCCUUGUUAAGUGCACUCAUUUGGAUGUGUUGCAGUACAAGGAGGAGUACGUAGCAGAACCCAACCUUUCCUGAUGUUUUGUGCGCUCUUCACAUUUUGGAGCAUUGAAAAAUAUGUUUUAAUCAAACAGUGACCAAGUUUUGAUGGAUCUUUUUAUAUCAGUUGUGUUUAUCCGACCGGGUGCUGCCCUAAUUCCAUGCCAUCUGUCUGAAAUUCUUUACCGGAUAUCAACCUCUAACGAUUCGAUCGACUUACUGAAUGGUAAAGCAAAGCGUCUGACUCCGCUGCAAACAAAGUAUACAAAAUGCUCCAAAAGGUUCACUGUCGUUCGACGAUCAUCCUCAUGGAAUGUGUAAAGUACGACGGAACGGCACUGUUUACCCGCUUUAGUGGCAGUUUGAAAAAGGCUGAAGGGAGCAUCGGCCACAAAACCGGACAAAAUGCAUGACAAGAAGUACCUAACUUAGUUGUAAUUCAAG